rnacentral:rRNA from 1 species
CCUACGGGAGGCAGCAGUGAGGAAUAUUGGUCAAUGGACGAAAGUCUGAACCAGCCAAGUAGCGUGAAGGAUGACGGCCCUAUGGGUUGUAAACUUCUUUUAUGUGGGAAUAAAAUGUUCCACGUGUGGGAUUUUGUAUGUACCAUAUGAAUAAGGAUCGGCUAACUCCGUGCCAGCAGCCGCGGUAAUACGGAGGAUCCGGGCGUUAUCCGGAUUUAUUGGGUUUAAAGGGAGCGUAGGUGGCUUGUUAAGUCAGUUGUGAAAGUUUGCGGCUCAACCGUAAAAUUGCAGUUGAAACUGGCAGGCUGGAGUACAGUAGAGGUGGGCGGAAUUCGUGGUGUAGCGGUGAAAUGCUUAGAUAUCACGAAGAACUCCGAUUGCGAAGGCAGCUCACUGGACUGUAACUGACACUGAGGCUCGAAAGUGUGGGUAUCAAACAGGAUUAGAUACCCCAGUAGUC